CAGUCGACGGAAAGGCCCUUCGGGGUACUCGAGUGGCGAACGGGUGAGUAACACGUGGGUGAUCUGCCCUGCACUUUGGGAUAAGCCUGGGAAACUGGGUCUAAUACCGAAUAGGACCGCAUGCUUCAUGGUGUGUGGUGGAAAGCUUUUGCGGUGUGGGAUGGGCCCGCGGCCUAUCAGCUUGUUGGUGAGGUAAUGGCUUACCAAGGCGACGACGGGUAGCCGGCCUGAGAGGGUGACCGGCCACACUGGGACUGAGAUACGGCCCAGACUCCUACGGGAGGCAGCAGUGGGGAAUAUUGCACAAUGGGCGCAAGCCUGAUGCAGCGACGCCGCGUGAGGGAUGACGGCCUUCGGGUUGUAAACCUCUUUCGCCAGGGACGAAGCGCAAGUGACGGUACCUGGAGAAGAAGGACCGGCCAACUACGUGCCAGCAGCCGCGGUAAUACGUAGGGUCCGAGCGUUGUCCGGAAUUACUGGGCGUAAAGAGCUCGUAGGUGGUUUGUCGCGUUGUUCGUGAAAACUCACAGCUUAACUGUGGGCGUGCGGGCGAUACGGGCAGACUUGAGUACUGCAGGGGAGACUGGAAUUCCUGGUGUAGCGGUGGAAUGCGCAGAUAUCAGGAGGAACACCGGUGGCGAAGGCGGGUCUCUGGGCAGUAACUGACGCUGAGGAGCGAAAGCGUGGGGAGCGAACAGGAUUAGAUACCCUGGUAGUCCACGCCGUAAACGGUGGGUACUAGGUGUGGGUUUCCUUCCUUGGGAUCMGUGCCGUAGCUAACGCAUUAAGUACCCCGCCUGGGGAGUACGGCCGCAAGGCUAAAACUCAAAGAAAUUGACGGGGGCCCGCACAAGCGGCGGAGCAUGUGGAUUAAUUCGAUGCAACGCGAGAACCUUACCUGGGUUUGACAUGCACAGGAC
rnacentral:rRNA from 1 species